UUUCCAGGCCCAAAACUAAUUAUUUCACCCACCUUAUAUCUCCAAAUAAAACUUGAGCCCAACACAAUUAAAAGAUGGAGCCCAAAAAUUUCAAAGUCAAAACCCAUAUACUCCCUUCCACCAUCGGCCUCCCUCAUCCCUCCUUCACUUUCUCACCAAAGGGAAAAAAAAUUCCCAAAUCAAGAUCCCAAACUGUGUUGCUUCACUCCCGUCUCCUUCAAUUCACUCUUCACUGUCUGCCAAUCAUCGCCGGCGUACGACUACCCAUGUCGUCACUCCUUCGCACCAGCCACCGCCGUUGGAGAACCGCCGCCAUCGACUUACUGCCUCACGAACUCCGUCGGUGUCGCUGGAGAGAAACGCCCCUCCGUCGUCCGCUGCUGUACCAUCGAAGGUCGCACAGAGCCGUCACCAGCCUCUGUACCCGACGCCACUACAGCCGUCGUCAGCCGCUGCCCGUCGCUGCUGCUGUGCAGUCUCCUCGCCGAAGGUCGCCGUCCCAGGGUCAGGCCGUAGAAGGAGACGCAGCGCAGUUCGCAGUGCUGCACACCGCCGUCGCCGUCAUCCGUCGUCACCACUUGACUGUUGUACUACCCCGAACGUGUUCGGGCAGCCAUCGUUCAUCACCGAACCAACCACGAAACGUCCCGAAACCAAGCCUAACAGCCCCGUACAACCCCGAAAGAUAAGUUUCCUUUACCAAGUUCUUUCGCAUUUCGAUUUAACCGUGGGAGUGUUCAAUUGUGUUAAAUGCUUGAGUUAUGCGAUUAGUUCGGAUGAUGGUAUGCUUAUGCAUAAACUGAUGAUUGAAACUCGAAAUUGGGAGGGAGUAUACCUUCAAUUGACAGAUUGUGAAAAAAAACAACUCGAUGAAUCCCUCGACUUCUAUUUCAAAUGUCAGUUUCUCCUCAACUGUGAAUUCAAGAAUUGGUAUCAUGGAAUUAAAAUAUGGAGAUUGUUGGUAGAAUGAGGAAACUGAUUUGUGAAGGGAAUAUUAUAGAGAGAAGGUAGUAGAUAGAUAUGGGAGAGAUUCAUGGAGUGAGGGGAGGGCGGUUUCAACGUGGAGAAAGGAAUAGAAUUCGAUUUUCUCUCUCUCUUUUUUUGAACGUGAUUCUUAUAAAUUUGGAUUUGUUUUGAUA